AUUUUCGUACUGCAAAUUCGGAUAUAUUUGAUAUAAUUGAGUAUGCAGUGAUGGUUGCUGCUGUUGAUUGUCCAAAGGAAUUUAAAAUGAGAAGGGAUAGAAUUGCUGAAAUGUUGUUUACAUGUAAAGUUACUAUGUGUUUUGGUUGUGAGAAAGUUGAUUUAGCUGUACCAAUUGCUGGUAAUGAUGAUGAAGGAAAAAUUAAGAGUAAGG
rnacentral:misc_RNA from 1 species